rnacentral:rRNA from 1 species
UACGGAGGGAGCUAGCGUUGUUCGGAAUUACUGGGCGUAAAGCGCACGUAGGCGGCUUUUUAAGUCAGGGGUGAAAUCCCGGGGCUCAACCCCGGAACUGCCCCUUGAAACUGGAGAGCUAGAAUCUUGGAGAGGCGAGUGGAAUUCCGAGUGUAGAGGUGAAAUUCGUAGAUAUUCGGAAGAACACCAGUGGCGAAGGCGACUCGCUGGACAAGUAUUGACGCUGAGGUGCGAAAGCGUGGGGAGCAAACAGG